UAAAGAAGAAGAAGAAGAGGAAGAAGAAGAAGUAGUAGUCAUUUUUCCAGGAAGUAAAAAUCCCACAUGGCAAAGAAUUAUGUGAAAAUGUAGAUCACUGCCUCCAUUCUUAAACAUGCUGAACAAACAAAGAUGCACAUUAGGAGGAAGAGCAAAUGUAAGGUUGAGUUUGAUUCUGAAUUAGGUAGCCAGCCAAUUCCUUCCUGCAUUAAAUGCCAAAGAAAAUGGAAAAGUUUGCAAAUGGAAGACCCACACACUCAAUCUGCUGCAAAGAAAGGAAGGCAGCUAUGCUGUGUUUUCAACUAGCAGCAGUGUGAGGAUAAAAAACGAACUUUUAAGUUGACAACAUUUUCAAACUGAUUAAAAAUGCCCAGUUUGUACUGGUCGUCGAGUCUCUGGUAAAGCUGGAGGCCAAGAGGGAGGACUUUUAUAAGAGAACAGAUGUCUUCAUGAAGAUGGCUACAUGGACUUUUUCCAAGUGACAACAAACCGCAGAUCUACAAAAAAGCCCGCUAUCCCUGCUAUCUGUUAUCUCCACACAGCUGCAGACUGCGCCGCUCCCCACCCACCACCACCAACACCACCACCACCUCUUCCAAUCUUGAUGGGUAUUGGAGAAUGUAAGAGAAGAGUUUCCUGAUAAAGCUGUCUAAUGAACAUACAGGAACUUUAGUAAGUUAAGCAUCAAAACAUCGAAGGCUGUUUGAACUUUGACUCCCCCUGUAUUAGCGCAGAGUCCUUAUCAGGCCUCUCGAGUGGAGAGAUUAGCCACUUCCUAAUGAAGUGGUGAAAUCGUAAAGGUCUUACUCCAAGGCAGAGUGGAUUGCUUCCAACAUUUUUCACUCUGUUAUCUCCCAUACCCAGAUUGCCAUUGGAAAAAG